GAGUUUGAUCCUGGCUCAGGAUGAACGCUGGCGGCGUGCCUAAUACAUGCAAGUCGAGCGAACAGAUAAGGAGCUUGCUCCUUUGACGUUAGCGGCGGACGGGUGAGUAACACGUGGGUAACCUACCUAUAAGACUGGAAUAACUCCGGGAAACCGGGGCUAAUGCCGGAUAACAUUUAGAACCGCAUGGUUCUAAAGUAAAAGAUGGUUUUGCUAUCACUUAUAGAUAGACCCGCGCCGUAUUAGCUAGUUGGUAAGGUAACGGCUUACCAAGGCAACGAUACGUAGCCGACCUGAGAGGGUGAUCGGCCACACUGGAACUGAGACACGGUUCAGACUCCUACGGGAGGCAGCAGUAGGGAAUCUUCCGCAAUGGGCGAAAGCCUGACGGAGCAACGCCGCGUGAGUGAUGAAGGUCUUCGGAUCGUAAAACUCUGUUAUUAGGGAAGAACAAAUGUGUAAGUAACUGUGCACGUCUUGACGGUACCUAAUCAGAAAGCCACG
rnacentral:rRNA from 1 species